rnacentral:lncRNA from 1 species
AUUGAUCCGCUGCCAAGAUCUUUUCCUGCAAAAGAAGCCAAGAGAAGAAUUUGAUCUUGCCAUCUGCAUGUGCCUUCCAUAUGACGUUAGCCUUCAGAGUUAUAUAUGUUCCUUGCAAUUGUGCCUGGUAAGCUGAUUUAGCAGUGUAUUCCCCAUUAGCUAUCCAUCUUCAUUGAAUGGUGUCUGGCUCAUCAGAGAGGUGAACGUCCUGCAAAAGAUCCCAGAGUAAUAUGAAUUCUGCCAUCUCCUCAACUAAAGACAUACGCCACAAUCCCCC